GGUUGUACGGCGCUUUCGCGCGCGUACGGUCGUUUGAUAUUUCCGUCGUCGUCGAAAGGCGCAGACGUCGCGACCUGUUUGUUGUCGGUCCUCGUUCGAAAGAGACGCGGUCGAGUUCGUUGCGUGGCGUGUUUGCGCGCGUUACCCGGCGAAGCCGCGUGUCUCUGGCCGAUGACGGACAGUGUGGUGUGGUGUCCGUUGCCGUCGUUUUGUGAGCGCGAGCAACGGUACCGGUCGGCGACGAAUUCUUCGGGCCUCUUUCCGACCCGUCUUGAAACACGGACCAAGGAGUCUAACGUGCGCGCGAGUCGCGGGGCUGAACAGCGAAACCCGUGUGCGCUUUGGCGCGCUUGAAGGCGUAAUGAAAGUGAAUGGGGAAGAUGGCGUUCCGAGUACACUUUUCCGUGAUCGUUGGUAUCGGGGCCGGACGUCCGCAUUCCCAGGGCGUCUCAACAACCCAUCGCGGAAUUAGAUUGUCGUCUUUCGGGGCGGCCUUCGGUCUGCGUUGAGUCGAGGCGCACCUAGAGCGUGCACGUUGGUACCCGAAAGAUGGUGAACUAUGCCUGGCCAGGAUGAAGUCAGGGGAAACCCUGAUGGAGGUCCGCAGCGAUUCUGACGUGCAAAUCGAUCGUCUGAGCUGGGUAUAGGGGCGAAAGACUAAUCGAACCAUCUAGUAGCUGG
rnacentral:rRNA from 1 species